UUAAAGAGCACCUAUUAUGGGAUACACGUUUUUAAACAUCCUUUUGUGUGUAAGUGUGCAUUAGUACAUGCUAACGAUAUUCAAAAAGUACAUACCUCAAAGAAAACGAUGACGCGAGUUAUCGUCUCUAACGUUCGAGGACUACAAAAAACACUCGGAUUGUAGGCAACAGUUUACUUCCUGGGAUUAGUGACGUAGAUAAGACCAACAUUAUCAUAGUUCAGCCCUCUCUGCUUUGCUUGGGUACGCCCUCAAAGACGGGGGUGGGGAGCGCCGAGUCAGAAGAGAGCUAAAAUGGCGGAGGUUGUGAGUCCCUGCUUUGACUCUGUUUGCAAACUCUUGUUUCAUUGUUUAAGCGAUUAAAUCUCUCGAGUAGACGCUGUCUCUUUAGAUGCGAGGGAAAAAUAGCACUUUAUGGACUUCCACAGAGGACAUCAUGUUUAAUACGGUUCCGGAAAAAUCCAGUCAGAAGUUGUUCACGGAGUUUUCACAAUAACUGCUUCUCAUGAACCGAAGCUGGAUUUGCGCGACGUCUCCUCUUGAAAGUUGGAUUACUGUGCACUUCUGGAUCACAGGCUAUUCGCAGCUGGACACAUCCUUCUAACUAACACUGUAUGCAAACAUGCAACAUCAUUACACACAGUACAAGGAGUCAGACUGGCAUAUGAGGAGCAAAGGAACCCAGGCAGUAGCAUCGUUUCACAAUGUUUCCAUCACCAUCAUCAGUGGAUGCCUUUGCCGUCCGUAGCCUGAGAUUUCAGAUUUGCAGCAAAAAAAAAAAUGAUUUUCUCAUUUAUUGGAAUGCUGUGCAGGUAUUUGUACCUUGCAGCCAUCCAUUACAAUGUCACCAAGCCGUAACAAAAGCAGGAGAGGGAAAGUACAAGGCUAUGUUCCCAAAACACACAAGUGACAUACCUUAUGUGGAUGAUGUGAUCGGGCUUGUGUUUGAUGAGGUAUUUGAAGAUAAGCUGAAGGAAGCCCCGAUUCCAAUGGACCUGGCAUCACAGUUUGAGAGACCUUCAAAGGAGGACGUGAUUGCAUGCCAUCUUCAGUGC